rnacentral:lncRNA from 10 species
ACUCAUCAUACAAAAGGGACACGAGUGAGUUUGGACUGAAAAAAAGAUGACAAAAAGGAAAAAGAACCCAGCCAAUAAUGCAGCAAAAUUCUAUUCUUUGACGGUCUUAUCCACUGGAAUAGUCAGAGCAGGAGCAUUCCACUUCUGAGCAUUAUGAUCCCCAAGCUCACAGAGUCUAACAACUUCUCCAAGUAAGUCAAUGGAAAUAAUGGAGAGGGAGUUGGGUAUACGACUAUUCCAUCACUCCAGCUUGAAAUUAGCCACCCGAGGGCAUCACCUUUGCCAUCUUGAAGUUAUUAAAAGUAUCAGGACCUAAAGAACAAACUAUAAAAUACUGAAACACACCAUGCAAAUAUACGCACAUUACUCUGCUAAAUAUCGGAACCAAAGUAAUCUAUUUAGAGAAAAGGUUGGUAUAAUCCAAUAAAAGAGAUU